rnacentral:rRNA from 1 species
CCUACGGGUGGCAGCAGUGAGGAAUAUUGGUCAAUGGGCGAGAGCCUGCACCAGCCAAGUCGCGUGAAGGAUGACGGCCCUACGGGUUGUAAACUUCUUUUGUCAGGGAGCAAUUGAGUCCACGUGUGGUCUUAGCGAGAGUACCUGAAGAAAAAGCAUCGGCUAACUCCGUGCCAGCAGCCGCGGUAAUACGGAGGAUCCGAGCGUUAUCCGGAUUUAUUGGGUUUAAAGGGAGCGUAGAUGGGUUGUUAAGUCAGUUGUGAAAGUUUGCGGCUCAACCGUAAAAUUGCAAUUGAUACUGGCAGCCUUGAGUACAGUUGAGGUAGGCGGAAUUCGUGGUGUAGCGGUGAAAUGCUUAGAUAUCACGAAGAACUCCGAUUGCGAAGGCAGCUUACUAAACUGCCACUGACAUUGAUGCUCGAAAGUGUGGGUAUCAAACAGGAUUAGAUACCCUUGUAGUC